rnacentral:rRNA from 1 species
GUUUGAUCCUGGCUCAGGAUGAACGCUAGCGGCAGGCUUAAUACAUGCAAGUCGAACGACGCUUGUUCCUUCGGGGAGAAGUGGAGUGGCGCACGGGUGCGUAACGCGUAUGCAACCUACCUUCAGUUGGGGGAUAGCCCGGGGAAACCCGGAUUAAUACCGCAUAAAACAGCAGCACUGCAUGGUGCAAUUUGUUAAAGAUUUAUCGACUGAAGAUGGGCAUGCGUCUGAUUAGCUAGUUGGUGAGGUAACGGCUCACCAAGGCAACGAUCAGUAGGGGAUCUGAGAGGAUGACCCCCCACACUGGUACUGAGAUACGGACCAGACUCCUACGGGAGGCAGCAGUAAGGAAUAUUGGACAAUGGGCGGAAGCCUGAUCCAGCCAUGCCGCGUGCAGGAGGACGGCCCUACGGGUUGUAAACUGCUUUUGUAAGGGGAUAAACCCCCGCACGAGCUGCGGGGCUGAAGGUACCUUACGAAUAAGCAUCGGCUAACUCCGUGCCAGCAGCCGCGGUAAUACGGAGGAUGCAAGCGUUAUCCGGAUUUAUUGGGUUUAAAGGGUGCGUAGGCGGCCUGUUAAGUCAGAGGUGAAAGGUUGCGGCUUAACCGCAGACAUGCCUUUGAUACUGGCGGGCUUGAAUAAAGUUGAGGUAGGCGGAAUGUGGCAAGUAGCGGUGAAAUGCAUAGAGAUGCCACAGAACACCGAUUGCGAAGGCAGCUUACUAAGCUUUGAUUGACGCUGAGGCACGAAAGCGUGGGGAUCAAACAGGAUUAGAUACCCUGGUAGUCCACGCAGUAAACGAUGAGAACUAGCUGUUGGCGAUAGAAUGUCAGCGGCACAGCGAAGCGUUAAGUUCUCCACCUGGGGAGUACGAUCGCAAGAUUGAAACUCAAAGGAAUUGACGGGGCCGCACAGCGGAGAGCAUGUGUUUAUUCGAUGAUACGCGAGACUUACUGGGCUUGAAGUUAGUGACGAUCGCUGAAGCGAUUUCCUUCCGGGCACAAAACUAGUGCUGCAUGGCUGUCGUCUACCUCCUGCCUGAGUGUUGGGGUUAAGUCCUCCAACAGAGCGACACCCUUAUAUCAUUGCCACACGGUCAAACCUGGGAACCUGGUGGAAUCUGCUCUCGGCCAACUUGUUAGAGGAAAUGCUCUGAACUCUAUGCGCUAAUUGCGCGACGUAUAG